AUAGAUUGAUUGAUAGUAUUUCGA
rnacentral:siRNA from 1 species